AUUUAAACACAUGGGAAAAGGUGUCAGAUUUGAGAUUCAUGUAUGGCGAUAUAUUUCUUAUUCCUUAUCCAUUCGUCUGCACUAUCUAUGUUGAAUUAAAUUCAUGGAAACAAAAUGCAUUUGGAGAUAAAGCAGAAUACAGCAACGCAUAUAAUUGUGCCAACAUGUAUGGACCGAGAGAGCAUAUGAACAGAGAAAGAGCUGUUAAUCGGAGGAGACUGGAGAAUACAGUUGGAGUUUCACAAAUGCAACUCUAUGCAGAGAGAAACAUGUUGACAAAUGCAGCCCAUGUUAACAAGUCAAUCAAGACACGAAUUCAAGAAGACACGAUUGAUCCAAAACAGAACAGGCAGUAUUGUGAUUCUGCAAAUGUCGAUAAUGGUUAUGACAACAGAGGUUUGUGGGAAUGCAAGGGAUAUAUGAAAACUAAAAAGGCAGAAAACAGGCAGCGAGAAGAGCAAGAACCAAUCUUACAAAACGGAUCACAAGGAAACCCAGUGUUAAAAAAGGCAGGCUUUUUAGAGUUAUUGAAAAGUCUUUUUUCAGCAUUACUACAGCGCAUUUUUAGUGGAAUCCGUGAAGUCUUCUGAGGCACUGUCACUGAAAAUAUAUGGCAUAUCUUUACAAUGUUUCAUUAAACUGAUUUAAAUUAAUCCAGUUAUUUCAGAAUUUGAAGGUGCAUAAAGAUAUUCUAUAUACCUUUUGUGGUAUUGGAUUGUACUUGUUUUCAUUUUCUUUUUAACUGACAAAGAUUAAAUUAUACUUGAAUUAUUUUAAAAGCAUAUUCUGAUAUAUAUUGUCAUUAUUUAAAUUGUGAAAAAUAGUAUUUAAUCCAUACGUUUUUAGAAGAAGCUAAGUUAGCUUUUAAAUGAAGUUCUGUGCAUGAUCACAUUCAAAUAAAGUAUUUACUCUAGCUGCAGUAAUUUAUUUGGUGAAUUGGUAUUCUCCAAUUCAUCAGUUCUUCCAUGCAUUCAUUCAUUCACAAGUAUUUAUGUACCACUUAUGGUUGUUUUAAUGUAUUGUAAGCUGCCUUGUAUCUUGUGCUGGAAGAAAUGUGGGAUAAUAAAUACAAAAAUAAGAAAUGGUUAUAUGCAGGCAUUUCAAAAGCAGCGUGCAUCAAUAAAAUGUAAAAGAACGCAAUGCAAUCCUGAAUAUAU
rnacentral:lncRNA from 1 species